GAUGCGGUCGUUGAAAGCACCAAAAAUAUCCUAUCCCUAAUAAAUAAUGAAAAGAAUAGUAAAAGGGAAGUAGGGUCAAAUCCUCAGGGACUGGACUUGCAAAAUAUCUUGUUUCGUGAUAUCCCAGGCAGAGUCUUGCCCAAGACAACUUGCGUUCCUAAAAAAAAUAAAAACAAUAGAAGAAUUAAAUUGUUGGAUCUAGAAACGAAAAAUAAAAUAAAAACAGAAUUAAGAAUAUUGAAUUGAAAAUUAGAAAAAAAAAUAAAAAAUAGAGUUGAGAGAAAGAAAAUUCUUAUGAGAGAUUCCAGCCUCCAGUUGUCUCGUUCUGCCUUGGGUUAAAUCCUUGGCUUUUAGAUGAUCCUUCCCAAACCGAAUAAGCCAGUUAUAGUGGAAGAGGACGCCUACGACCACCAGCUCCAAUGAUUUAGAC
rnacentral:lncRNA from 1 species